UAAGCGGAGGAAAAGAAACUACANGGAUUCCCCUAGUAACUGCGAGUGAAGCGGGAAAAGCUCAAAUUUAAAAUCUGGUGGUCUUUGGCCAUNCGAGUUGUAAUUUAGAGAAGCGUUUUCCGCGCUGGACCGUGCACAAGUCUCCUGGAAUGGAGCGUCAUAGAGGGUGAGAAUCCCGUCUUUGGCACGGACACACCAGGGCUUUUGUGAUGCGCUCUCGAAGAGUCGAGUUGUUUGGGAAUGCAGCUCAAAAUGGGUGGUGAACUCCAUCUAAAGCUAAAUAUUGGCGAGAGACCGAUAGCGAACAAGUACCGUGAGGGAAAGAUGAAAAGCACUUUGGAAAGAGAGUGAAACAGUACGUGAAAUUGUUGAAAGGGAAACGCUUGAAGUCAGUCGCGUCGACCGAGACUCAGCCUUGCCUUGGCUUGGUGUACUUCUCGGCUGACGGGUCAGCAUCAAUUUCGCCCCUUGGAUAAUGGCGAGGGAUAUGUGACACCUUUAUGGUGUGUUAUAGUCCCUUGUCGCAUGCAAGGGUUGGGAUUGAGGAACUCAGCACGCACCUUUGGUGUCGGGGCUUUGCCCACGAUACGUGCUUAGGAUGUUGGCGUAAUGGCUUUAAACGACC
rnacentral:rRNA from 1 species